rnacentral:misc_RNA from 1 species
GAUGAAGAACGUAGCGAAAUGCGAUACUUGGUGUGAAUUGCAGAAUCCCGUGAACCAUCGAGUCUUUGAACGCAAGUUGCGCCCGAAGCCAUUAGGUCGAGGGCACGCCUGCCUGGGCGUCACACGUCGUUGCCCCCCCAUCUACUCCUUCGGGAUUGCGGGGGGCGGAUGAUGGCCUCUCGUGCGCCUCGUCGCGCGGUUGGCCUAAAUGCCAAGUCCUCGGCGACGCACGCCACGACAAUCGGUGGUUGCGAAACCUCGGUUGCCUGUCGUGUGCGGUCGUCGCGCAUCGAGGGCUCGAAAAAAUUGCCGGGCUUCGGCUCGACUUUCAACGCGACCCCAGGUCAGGCGGGGUUACCCGCUGAAUUUAAGCAUAUCAAUAAGCGGAGGA